AAAGAACUUUGAAGAGAGAGUUCAAGAGUACGUGAAACCGCCCAGAGGUAAACGGGUGGAUCCGCAAAGUCGGUCCGCGGAAUUCAGCGCGGCGCGCGGCCCGGGGUUUUCUUUUGGGCCGUGGGUUGGAGGAUCCCUCGUGGACCGCCCACGGUAGCCUCGCCGGGCUCCGCCGCGUGCACUUUCCGCGGACAGAGAGCCACAACCGGUUCGGCGCGCACAACCAUGCGGCGACAGGCCGGGAGGGUUGUAGGUGGGGGCGCUCGCCGUCCCUACCAGCCUUCCCCGGUUAGCCGCCGCCGGACCGAGGAACCGCCACGCGCUUCGAGGCCACCUUCCCCUCCGGGCGAGUUCGACUGGGAGAGACUGGGCAACCGUGUCUCCCGACCGCUCGCCCGCGAUCGGCGCUGGGGCUGGCCGGGCGCGAAGAGAGUGAGGGUUUGUGGCAAGUCUGUCGGCAUUCCACCCGACCCGUCUUGAAACACGGACCAAGGAGUCUAACAUGCGCGCGAGUCAUUGGGCGGUACGAAACCCAAAGGCGCAGUGAAAGCGAGGGUCGUCUCCGAGCGGCCCAGGUGGGAUCCUCUCCUCCAGGAGCAAUCCGGCGAGGGGUGGC
rnacentral:rRNA from 1 species